UGAGGAAUAUUGGACAAUGGGGGCAACCCUGAUCCAGCCCUGCCGCGUGAGUGAUGAAGGCCUUAGGGUUGUACAACUCUUUCGCCGGUGAAGAUAAUGACGGUAACCGGUAAAGAAGCCCCGGCUAAUUUCGUGCCAGCAGCCGCGGUAAUACGAAAGGGGCUAGCGUUGUUCGGAAUUACUGGGCGUAAAGCGCGCGUAGGCGGCAUGCCAAGUUGGGGGUGAAUUCCCGGGGCUCAACCCCGGAACUGCCUCCAAAUCUGGCAUGCUAGAGGUUGUGAGAGGAUAGUGGAAUUCCGAGUGUAGAGGUGAAAUUCGUAGAUAUUCGGAAGAACACCAGUGGCGAAGGCGACUGUCUGGCACAUUUCUGACGCUGAGGUGCGAAAUCGUGGGGAGCAAACAGGAUUAGAUACCCC
rnacentral:rRNA from 1 species